AAUGCGUUCUCAAGUUUAUCCACCAUACCGGCUGUAGGCCAUAUUUCGACCUGUUUAUUGCUACUUGGACUCUAAAAAAAGAUUAAACUCGAAGCAUAAGAAUAAAAUAUUCUGAAAUAUUAAUAUUAAUGAUGACUUGAAGAUUAGAAGAUAGCUAUUACCGGCGAGAUGUUAUCUGUAAUUACUUGGAAAGACUUUAAUGCGAAGAUUCACAUUAUGACAUAACGAAGACAGAAUUGACUAAAACAGAAGAAAGGAAAACGGAUCCAAUAGCCUCUCCUUGGAUCCACCAGUGCCUAGUGGGCCCGCAGAUCUUCUGCGCCCAGGGUCAGAAAUGAGCUUAAACCAGCACUGAUCACAGUCCAUAAUUAUGUUCUUUUUGCCGCUGCUACUGAGUCAGGAGUCAGAAUGGAUUGUUCACGAUGUCUUACAGAUGUUUCACGGAAUUAAA